UGACCGCAGGCUUCACCCCUUGUGGUGCUCCCCCGCCAAUCCUUUAAGUUAUACUUGCGUACGUACUUCCCAGGCGGCAGACUUAACGGCUUCCCUGCGGCACUGCAUUGGCCACAAGCCAAUGCAUCACCGAGUCUGCAUCGUUUACAGCUGGGACUACCCGGGUAUCUAAUCCGGUUUGCUCCCCCAGCUUUCAUCCCUCACCGUCGAACGUGUUCUGGUACACCGCCUUCGCCACAGGUGGUCUUCAAUAGAUCAAAGGAUUUUACCCCUUCCUAUCGAGUACCGUGUACCUCUCCCACUCCCUAGCUGCACAGUAUUUUCGGCGGCCUAUACGUUAAGCGCAUAGAUUUAACCGAAAACUUAUGCAACCGGCUACGGAUGCUUUAGGCCCAAUAAACCUCCUGACCACUCGAGGUGCUGGUUUUACCGCGGCGGCUGACACCAGAACUUGCCCACCCCUUAUUCACCAGUGAUUCUACAACUGACAAAGGACUCCUUUAGCAGGAGACACUCGGAUUUAACCUUGUCGUGCUUUCGCACAUUGCCAAGGUUUCUCGCCUU
rnacentral:rRNA from 1 species